rnacentral:misc_RNA from 1 species
GGCAUAUGAGAGGCCUUUCUUUACACAGUCGUAAUGCUAGCAGCUCUCGCAGUGGGAGCAUAGAUUUCAAUGAGUCAUGAAGGAAUGGCGUGAAGAAGUGUCUGGGAGUGUGCGAUUUUAUUUAUUUUCACUUCAACUCAUUAUUUGUAAAGUUGAGUCCUUUUUCUUCUUUUCUUUCUUGGUCUUCUUUCUUUUCGAUGAGUUUGAUGUCUUUAAAUUAAUGUGUAAGGGCCAGGGACUUCUGCAUAUAUCCUUCAUUCCAUUCGUGUAUAAUUUUGUAAUUUAAA